rnacentral:rRNA from 1 species
GGCGAAUGCACAGGGGCAAACUCAGUAUGAAAAUUGGGAUGUUUGGUCCUGAGUUGUAGUCUUGCAAUGCGCUACCAGAGGAGAUGCAGCUACAGGCUCUUGGAAAGGAGAGUCCGUGAGGGUGAAAACCCUGUGUGCUGGCUGCAGCACUCCGGCAAUCGGUGUGCUGUUUUCGAGUCGUGUACCUUGGCACUGGUGCAUGAAGCGGUGGUAAUUUUUAUCCAAAGAUGAAGAAGUGUUUGAGACCAAUAGAAAACAAGUACCUUAAGGGAAAGGUGAAACAGAACUUUGUAAAGAGAGAUAACUAUGCUUGAACCUGCUGAAUUUGACGUGAAUGGUGACAGUGUCAUGUGGUAGGAUUUCUGUGCGUUNNNNNNNNNNNNNNNNNNNNNNNNNNNNNNNNNNNNNNNUGCAAGUAUACGGGUGGCAAGCCUGUGUGCUCAGUGAAAGUACUGGCUGGGAUUGUUGCACCAGCAACCAAUCAUUUGCCAAAGAAAUGCCCGAGUAUGAGCAUGCCUAUUAGGACCCGAAAGAUGGUGAACUAUGUCUGUGAAUGGCAAACCCAGGGGAAACUCUGAUGGAGGCCUGUAGCGAUACUAACGUGCAAAUUGUUCGUCAUACAUGGGCAUAGGGGUGAAAGACUAAUCGAACCAUCUAGUAGCUGGUUCCCUCUGAAGUUUCCCUCAGGAUAGCUGGGCAUGAAUAGUUUUACUAAGUAAAGCAAAUGAUUCGAGGCAUUGGGGGCCUGUCGUCCUUGACCUAUUCUCAAACUCUAAAGAGGUAAGCCCCAGCAGUUACUUGUUUGAGCAACUGGGGCAAGUGACAGUCCCAAGUGGGCCAUUCUUGGUAAGCAGAACUGGCGAUGAGAGAUGAACCUAAUGUUAGACUAAGGUGCCCCAGUGCUCGCUCAUCAGAUACCAUAAAGGGUGUUGGUUCAUCUUGACAGCAGGACGGUGGUCAUGGAAGUUGAAAUCCGCUAAGGAGUGUGUAACAACUCCUGCCC